GAUGAACGCUGGCGGCGUGCCUAAUACAUGCCAGUCGAGCGAACAGAUGAGGAGCUUGCUCCUCUGACGUUAGCGGCGGACGGGUGAGUAACACGUGGAUAACCUACCUAUAAGACUGGGAUAACUUCGGGAAACCGGAGCUAAUACCGGAUAAUAUAUUGAACCGCAUGGUUCAAUAGUGAAAGACGGUUUUGCUGUCACUUAUAGAUGGAUCCGCGCCGCAUUAGCUAGUUGGUAAGGUAACGGCUUACCAAGGCAACGAUGCGUAGCCGACCUGAGAGGGUGAUCGGCCACACGGGAACUGAGACACGGUCCAGACUCCUACGGGAGGCAGCAGUAGGGAAUCUUCCGCAAUGGGCGAAAGCCUGACGGAGCAACGCCGCGUGAGUGAUGAAGGUCUUCGGAUCGUAAAACUCUGUUAUUAGGGAAGAACAAAUGUGUAAGUAACUAUGCACGUCUUGACGGUACCUAAUCAGAAAGCCACGGCUAACUACGUG
rnacentral:rRNA from 1 species